rnacentral:lncRNA from 1 species
AACCACAACAAGUUCAAAAACAGAAAUAUCAGGGGAAAAAAACAAGGGAAAGCCGACGUAAAUCAAAUGAACAAGAAGAGGUGGGAAACUGCCCACAACUACACAUAUCAUCUUCACUAAGAAGAAGAGCAGCAGGUGGUCUUUUUAGUGCUGGGAUCGGGUCCUCCAACUACAAUGGUCUUCCCAUCUUUGACACUCACAGGUGCUGCUGACUCUUCCGAAGAAAGUGUCUUCUUACUAAUAAUCCUAUAUAUCUCAGAAAGAAUUGUUUGAAAAGCCUUGUCAACAUUGGUGGCUUCAAGAGCGGAUGUCUCUACAAAAGCAAG